GUGAAAUGCGUAGAUAUCGGGAGGAACACCAGUGGCGAAGGCGGCCUACUGGGCACCAACUGACGCUGAGGCUCGAAAGUGUGGGUAGCAAACAGGAUUAGAUACCCUGGUAGUCCACACCGUAAACGAUGAUUACUAGGUGUUGGAGGAUUGACCCCUUCAGUGCCGCAGUUAACACAAUAAGUAAUCCACCUGGGGAGUACGACCGCAAGGUUGAAACUCAAAGGAAUUGACGGGGGCCCGCACAAGCAGUGGAGUAUGUGGUUUAAUUCGACGCAACGCGAAGAACCUUACCAAGUCUUGACAUCCUGCGACGAUACUAGAAAUAGUAUUUUCCUUCGGGACGCAGAGACAGGUGGUGCAUGGUUGUCGUCAGCUCGUGUCGUGAGAUGUUGGGUUAAGUCCCGCAACGAGCGCAACCCUUAUGGUCAGUUACUACGCAAGAGGACUCUGGCCAGACUGCCGUUGACAAAACGGAGGAAGGUGGGGAUGACGUCAAAUCAUCAUGCCCUUUAUGACUUGGGCUACACACGUACUACAAUGGCGUUAAACAAAGAGAAGCAAGACCGCGAGGUGGAGCAAAACUCAGAAACAACGUCCCAGUUCGGACUGCAGGCUGCAACUCGCCUGCACGAAGUCGGAAUUGCUAGUAAUCGUGGAUCAGCAUGCCACGGUGAAUACGUUCCCGGGCCUUGUACACACCGCCCGUCACACCAUGAGAGCCGGGGGGACCCGAAGUCGGUAGUCUAACCGCAAGGAGGACGCCGCCGAAGGUAAAACUGGUGAUUGGGGUGAAGA
rnacentral:rRNA from 1 species